GUGGCCAUACCUGUACCACCACGGUAUGUGGUCCGCUGGCAGCGAGAUAUGUUUUAGAACACGAAAGAAAUCUUCAAUGAGAUUCCUCAUUUUCUUUCGUGUCCAGAUCAUUUCUUGGGUCCCAGGUGAGUCGCUUUCUUAUGUUCCACCGAUGUUUUAAUGUAGAUGGACAUGCCUUUUAUUUCCCUGUAGUUUUUCCUGACGGGAUGACACACAGGCGCCGUCCACGGUGGUUAUUAGGGCUCGCCUCUCCCUCUCCGUUCCCUGGCUGCCCUGGGCCCGGCCUGGCCCUCACAGCUGCCAUCUGCCCACCAGCAGCAGCUGUCACUCUCCGCUGCUGCCCAUGACACGCUGCUACCCUGUCCCCACCCGGCCCUGCCGCCAAGUGGUCGGAAUCCCUGAAACCAAUCUCAGAGAGCUUGCUCUUAGCGACCGUAGCUCGUGGAAGGGGUGCAAGCUUUUUCUUGCAAAUGUGUGUCCCCUGUUAUGGAAGGGACGGCUAUCCAGUUCUCAAGCACGGAGACCAAGAAGGUUUGCGUGACUCCAUCUACGGCUACGGCGAAUGCCUCUCUCACAGCCGCCCACCGUUUCAGGACUCUCCAUUUGUUCUCAGCCACCCCAUGAAGAUCUGAGGUCUUCAGCAUGGUGUAAGGACCACUUCCCUGGUUCCAUCUGCCCACGUGUCCCCCAUGGAUGGCCCUUCCUUCAAGGGGCCUUCGCUCUCAGUUCGGACCAGGCAGCUCUGUUUGUUCUUCAGCUUCCAGAUGAAAACACACAUAUCCUGCGAGUUGGCAAAGGUUGUCAACUUGCUGAUCUCCACAUAAUCACAGGGAUCGCGGGCCUGUUACAAUAG
rnacentral:lncRNA from 12 species